CCUACGGGGGGCAGCAGUGGGGAAUCUUCCGCAAUGGGCGAAAGCCUGACGGAGCAACGCCGCGUGAUCGAAUGAAGGCCUUCGGGUUGUAAAGAUCUGUUGACAGGGACGAAUAAGCAAUGCGAAUAGCUUUGUGUAUGACGGUACCUGUUUAGAAAGCUCCGGCUAACUACGUGCCAGCCGCCGCGGUAAUACGUAGGGGGCAAGCGUUAUCCGGAAUUACUGGGUGUAAAGGGAGAGUAGGUGGCAAGGUAAGCUAUAUGUGAAAGCCUUAAGCUUAACUUAAGGAUUACAUAACGAACUAGCAAGCUAGAGUACAGGAGAGGAAAGCAGAAUUCCUAGUGUAGCGGUGAAAUGCGUAGAGAUUAGGAAGAACACCAGUGGCGAAGGCGGCUUUCUGGACUGAAACUGACGCUGAGGCUCGAAAGCGUGGGGAGCGAACAGGAUUAGAUACCCGAGUAGUC
rnacentral:rRNA from 1 species